UACGUAGGUGGCAAGCGUUGUCCGGAUUUAUUGGGUUUAAAGGGUGCGUAGGCGGUCCUGUAAGUCAGUGGUGAAAUACGGCAGCUUAACUGUCGAGGUGCCAUUGAUACUGCGAGACUUGAGUACAGACGAGGUAGGCGGAAUUGACGGUGUAGCGGUGAAAUGCUUAGAUAUCGUCAAGAACACCGAUAGCGAAGGCAGCUUACUAGACUGUAACUGACGCUGAGGCACGAAAGUGUGGGGAUCAAACAGGAUUAGAUACCCUGGUAGUCCACACUGUAAACGAUGAUUACUCGAUGUUGGCGAUAGACAGCCAGCGUCUUAGCAAAAGCGAUAAGUAAUCCACCUGGGGAGUACGCUGGCAACAGUG
rnacentral:rRNA from 1 species